GACGAACGCUGGCGGCGUGCCUAACACAUGCAAGUCGAACGGAACUGUUUUGAAAGAUUUCUUCGGAAUGAAUUUGAUUUAGUUUAGUGGCGGACGGGUGAGUAACGCGUGAGUAACCUGCCUUCAAGAGGGGGAUAACAUUCUGAAAAGAAUGCUAAUACCGCAUGACAUAUCGGAACCACAUGGUUCUGAUAUCAAAGAUUUUAUCGCUUGAAGAUGGACUCGCGUCCGAUUAGUUAGUUGGUGAGGUAACGGCUCACCAAGACCGCGAUCGGUAGCCGGACUGAGAGGUUGAACGGCCACAUUGGGACUGAGACACGGCCCAGACUCCUACGGGAGGCAGCAGUGGGGGAUAUUGCGCAAUGGGGGCAACCCUGACGCAGCAACGCCGCGUGAAGGAUGAAGGUUUUCGGAUUGUAAACUUCUUUUAUUAAGGACGAAAAUUGACGGUACUUAAUGAAUAAGCUCCGGCUAACUACGUGCCAGCAGCCGCGGUAAUACGUAGGGAGCAAGCGUUGUCCGGAUUUACUGGGGUGUAAAGGGUGCGUAGGCGGCUUUGCAAGUCAGAUGUGAAAUCUAUGGGCUCAACCCAUAAACUGCAUUUGAAACUGUAGAGCUUGAGUGAAAGUAGAGGCAGGUGGAAUUCCCCGUGUAGCGGUGAAAUGCGUAGAGAUGGGGAGGAACACCAGUGGCGAAGGCGGCCUGCUGGGCUUUAACUGACGCUGAGGCUCGAAAGCAUGGG
rnacentral:rRNA from 1 species